rnacentral:rRNA from 1 species
CAGCAGCCGCGGGAAUACGGAGGGUGCAAGCGUUAAUCGGAAUUACUGGGCGUAAAGCGUGCGCAGGCGGUUUGUUAAGACAGAUGUGAAAUCCCCGGGCUCAACCUGGGAACUGCAUUUGUGACUGGCAAGCUAGAGUCUGGCAGAGGGGGGUGGAAUUCCGCGUGUAGCAGUGAAAUGCGUAGAUAUGCGGAGGAACACCGAUGGCGAAGGCAGCCCCCUGGGCCAACACUGACGCUCAUGCACGAAAGCGUGGGGAGCAAACAGGAUUAGAUACCCCAGUAGUCCCUGUCUCUUAUAC